UCUCGUUAUGAAGCAAAUUCCCGAUGGGAGGAGACGGUUNGGAGGAGACGGUUGUCUUCGCUGCCUUGUAACCGCAAAAGACACUUUUAAGUUUAUGGGGGAAUUAAUACAAUG
rnacentral:sRNA from 1 species